rnacentral:misc_RNA from 1 species
UCCGAGUUGUCCCCGGCAGUCCUCUUAGAGUCCCCAGCAUUACCUGAUGGCAACUAAGAGCAGGGGUUGCGCUCGUUGCGGCACUUAAGCCAACACCUCACGGCACGAGCUGACGACAGCCAUGCAGCACCUGUGCUAGCCCCUUACGGACACGGGCUUUCACCCGCUUUAACUAGCAUGUCAAACCCAGGUAAGGUUCUUCGCGUUGCAUCGAAUUAAACCACAUACUCCACCGCUUGUGCGGGCCCCCGUCAAUUCCUUUGAGUUUCAGUCUUGCGACCGUACUCCCCAGGCGGCGAACUUAUUGCGUUAGCUGCGACACCAAGAAGAUUAAACUCCCCGACGUCUAGUACCCAUCGUUUACGGCGUGGACUAC